ensembl:lncRNA
CAUCAUGCCUCAGCCCCAAGAGUUUCACGCAUCCCUGCACAGCGAGUCUGACUAUCCAUUCAUCUCUGAUGAUGAAGAUUCUCUCCUGAGAGAUAUGGCAGUUUUGGGGACGUAGUCUAUGUAUAUUGUUAAGAGACUUCAGGAGUGGGAAUUACAAUAUUUCAUAAUGCUUUUAAUAGCAUUAUAUUGUAUUAUAAGCUUGGGUUGGUUUUUAUAGCCUUAUUGACACAGGCAAAAACUGGUUAAUCUAACCUGGGGACACAACUUUAUGUGUGCAUUCUGGUCAUAUGAGAAUGCUCUGAGUAGCCUGGGGCGCCAUGGCUUGGAGAAAUCCCAACAUGAGGAGGAGGAGGAGGAAGAUGUGAGGUGGCGUUGGAGGGAUGCCUGUCGACUCUCGUCGCUAAACUGCAACUUUAACGAUGUAAACAAAGGCAUUCAGGGUGGUUUGAUUUGAAGAGGUUAACUGUAAAGACCUACCGACCUAGACUUUCUUUACAGUGGUGGUGAAAGAAACCUGUGAUGUUGUUUUACUGUGGACAGUUCUGAUUUGGUGAGUUUCUCUGAAAUAUAGCAUUUUUCUUCCAGCCACUCUGAACAAUCUUAAUAAUUUAUUUAUGCAGACACUUAGAAAAAUUGGUGAAAUUCCCCUUGAUGACAAGAAGUUCAUCUUGAGCUGAGAGGAAAGAAAACAUAAAAACUAUUCUAACAGCAGGUUUGACUUCAACAGUGGAUCAAAAAUGAACUUUUAUACCCUUUGGUCACCUCUGAGGGUCUCUUGUG